CAGUGAUUUCAGAAAAAAUGUACAAAACCGCCAUUUAUUCGCGAGUAAAAGUGUCAACUUCUGUUUAAAAAUCCAAUUUUUCCUGGUAAGAAAGGAAAAACUAUCUUUUAUGCAACCAUGCAUGUUUGAAUGAGUUGCCGUUAUCAGAGAUUUCAGGAGAAAAUUUCGAAACUAGUCAAUUUUUGCGCCAAAAGUACGGAUUUCUGUUUGAAAAUUUGGAACUCAAAAACGAAUUGAUCAGAAAACUUGAGAAAAUGUUCGUUGAAGAGAGCACAGUUUUCUUUUUUGAAGCUUGAAAGUUUCAAUUCGCCACCAUCAUCGACGAUUUCAAGGAAAAUUCUUCAAACCGCUCAUUUUUACGCGAGUAAAACUGUCAAGCUCCAUUAAAAAUGUUUUUUCUCCAGCACAAAUUGAGAAGAAAAAAUGUGUACAAUUGCUUCAGAAUUGGAAAACUCUCUUUUGUAAACCCUGAGAGUUUUAAUUUGCUGCUGUCAUCAGAGAUUUCAGGAAAAAAUGUCGAAACUAGUCAAUUUUUGACGCAAAAAGUACAGAUUUCUGAUUGAAAAUUUGUAACUCAGAAACGAAUUGAGCAGAAAACUUGAGAAAAUGUUCGUUGAAGAGAGCACAGUUUUCUUUUUUCAAGCUUGAAAGUUUCAAUUCGCCACCAUCAUCGACGAUUUCAAGAAAAAUUCUGCAAACCGCUCAUUUUUACGCGAGUAAAACUGUCAAGCUCCAUUAAAAAUGUUCUUUCUCCAGCACAAAUUGAGAAGAAAAAUGAGUACAAUUGCUUUAGAAUGGGAAAACUCUAUUUUGUAAACCCUGAGAGCUUUAAUUUGCUGCUGUCAUCAGAGAUUUCAGAAAAAAAAUGUCGAAACUAGUCAAUUUUUGACGCAAAAAGUACAGAUUUCUGCUUGAAAAUGUGUAACUCAGAAACGAAUUGAGCAGAAAACUUGAGAAAAAUUUCGCUGGAAAGAACAAGGUCUCGUCGAUAAACCCUGAAAGUUUCAGCCGGCCACCAUCAUCAGGGAUUUUUCGAAACGGCCAACAAGAAAAAUCCAGAUAACCAUUCAACAACCUGAUGAUUCCGCACUAUUCUCUUCCCAUAUGGGUGAUUUAAAUUCAUCAAGCAGCGGCCGCAAUCGACCUUCAACAUGCACACGUGUUAGUGUGGGAUUACGAUUGUUUUAGUGGUACCACCCCGCCCAUCCGAUUAUCCCAUGCAGUCCGGCCCUGCCCAUCAAAUGCCAUCUGGAAAAUUAUGUUGAUUCGAGGAUUCAAAGGGCAAACAAGCGCUGUUGACUCGCCCCUAAAAGGGUGAAGGUCUGAUUAUGUUGAUACUGCCAACCACCCAAAGGGGGCCGAUUUAAACAGAUUAAUCUUUCGCCUUGGCAGGGUUGGCGAGCGAAAAAAAAACGUUCGUUCCGGUACGAGCUGGCGCAGUUCGGAAAAACUCGACUCAAUCAAAUGUGAAAACUCUUCCGCAUUGGCGACGACACACCACUGUUUGCUUACGCGGCUGUUUAAAUACAGCAUUUUACAAUGUUCUGAUUGGUUUUAGCGCGUUUGCCAUACGGAUCCCGUGCCAACCACAGUAAAUAUUUACGAAAUUGUGAUUAUGGGGGGCCCCUAUAAGGAGUGCGAAGUGAUUAGAGGACCGAUGCGAAGCCCCCAACUCAAUCUAUUUUAAACCCAAAGGCUGAAAUUAAUAAAAGCCGACCGUGCCGACACAAACAAAAUAAUAAAUAUUAAUUAAACUAGGUAGGGCCGGAGCUGAAUAGAGCAUUUAAAUCGCCAUUUUUUUCUGUACACGGUGGACCGAAAAUAUGACAGUUUUUACCUCGCGCAGGGUUGCCACUGGUUUGCUGCGCGAUUAUUCCGCGAUUAAAAAUCAAGUUGGAUCGAUAUUAUCGAUUCAACUGUUAAUAAGCGAUGACUAAAGUGGAUCAAGUCUUUGUCCCCAAAGUGAUUCAUCAACGCCAUUGUAUGCAAAGGGUCAGAACGAUAACAAUGCAGGAAUUAGGCCAGGAUGUGGCAACAUGUGGCGGGGGAAAAAUCACUAGGACAAAGGCGAAAAGUCAAGAUGUCGGCCUUUCAAAAAAACAGUGGGGGAAGUUACUCGAUAUACCAGGUGCGUGCACAAGGAAAUUGAUGUUCAAUUGCCAAAUGCCCAAACGUUUGCUUUGGAAAAGUCGAAAAGUAGUAAAACCCAGCAUUUCCCAAAGAAAACCAUUAAGAACGUUUGUUAGCAAAAGGAUGAUCUACAAAGCGAGGCUAAUUUCGACUUCUAGGCGCCACCGUGUAUGUUCACCUGGCGGCGCUUCAUAUUUACUCUGUGUCAACGAUCUGCGCCAAAUAUUCGGAUAUUAUAGUAAAUCGGUAUUUUUGGUCCGUUCCUAUUGUUAAUUAUAGAAACACGGUCGCGCAAAACACAUUUUGGAGAAAAAAAUCGGCAAAAACUCUCGCACGUCAGCAAUGUUGGCAAAACCUUCAAGCCUGGAUGGGCUUUUAAGCAAACCCCAUAAACAGUCACUUGAUUCAGCCCAUCAUUAAGUCGGAUUAAUGGGAAUCAACAAUAGACGCGGCUUACGCAACGCCGUCUUCGAUUGCAUGGACUUCAGAACAUGUUUUUUGCGACUUUCAAUGAUUGGGCAACAGGCAGUGUUGCUGAUCGUGCAAUUUUCCGCCACUGAACCAGAAAUCUCGUUUGUGGAUAUCGCAAAAAUGUCGGGUGUUGGCGUCCUAAUCCGACUAGAAAACACCUCAGGAUUGAUAAUGGGGCCAAUAAACGCCGCAUGCCAGACUAUUUAUACACGCGGAAGCCUGUUACUGUCGGAGCAUGAUCCCGCACAGGACCGGCCUCUAAACAAUUCCACAACCAGCAACGAAACGCCCUGAAAGGCAAAUGGACACUUUCAAGCAGCCCUCAAAAGACACUCAACUCGUUAUAUGAGGAGCGAUUGAGCCCCGAAUCAGCCACCAAAACUAACCGGUUUCAUGCCACCAAAACCACCCGGGCCCGCCCCUGCUAGCCGCUCAUUCAACCAAAGUCGUUGCCCUCAAUUUUGAGGAACAUUUCAUUUCUAACUGGGUAGAAUAAUCGUCUAAUGAUGAAGUAAA